GAUGGACAUGGGGUUCCCUGACCAACCACUUCGAUGCUCAAAUCAAUUUUUGAAGGAGGUGGAGGUUCUGGAACGAAGAGAAGAGGUUUAGGGUUUGUGAUGCAUGUCUUCGCAUACUUAUGCCUGUAGGGUGCAAAAUUUCUAGAUCCAUGCCAGCUCCCCUUGGUCCCAACAAUAGCUGUCAUGCGAGCAAAGGCAUCCCUAACACAGGUGGAUCUCACCCUUCUGAAGUAAUUGAGAGAGGAUCUGGCCAUAGAGUUGAUAGAAAUCGACCAACUGAGGAAAAUCAUAGCUAAAGGGAAGUCAAACAGUGUUCGGGCAAAGUACAACUUGGACUGGUUGAAAAGGAAGAUUGAUUCCCUCGAGGUCCAGAUUAAGGGACUGGAGUUGGGAAAGAAAAAGCACUGGAAGGAGAUAAAGAGGCUGAAAGCUGUCUUGGAGGCCUAAGAGCUAGACGAUGCCAGGGAUUGCUAAAGCAAAGACAGAAACCACUAAGGCUGAACUAGAUGCCAGCCAGAAAGAACUCAGGAUUUUGGAGGUGGAACUAGGAGCCACUUGAAACGAGGUCGAGUCUAGAAAGCCUUGGCAGAGGCCUGACUGCACGAGUUAGAGCUCGUUCAUGCUGAAGUGGAGACGACCAAAGCUAAAGUUAAGAGCAAGCUUCAGGCAGCGUUGGAAAUUGCUCAUAAGGAUGCGAAAUAUGCCAAAGCCCUAGCGAAGACCUGACUGCAUGAAUUAGAAUUCAUCCGUGUUGAGAUAGGGGCAGCCAAAGCUAAAGUUGAGGCCCUCAGAGCUUCUAAUGAUGAACUACAGGCAGUGCUCGGAGCCCAAAGAAACUAGCUAGAAAGUAAAAUGGCCGAGCUCCAAAAAUAUCAUGCUAGGGAGGGCGAGCGUUGGGCCACAAAAAAGAAGAAAUUCCUGCGCUCAGAGGAAUUUUUUUUUAUUUAAUCGACACACAUCUCGUCUAAAUGUUGCAAUAUCAAUAUGGAAUGGAUGGUGAAAUCAAGUAGCUGCUGAAGAAUGUGAACUUGCCUGCCGACAAGCCUUCGCCAACUAUUAGCUUGACAAAGAUCACUAAUAGCAUUCCGAGAAGAUGUAGCAGACUUAACUUGUUAUUUUCCCUAUCUCCUGGAUAGUUUUAACUGUUGUAAUCAAUGUCCUCAUGAACUGAAAAAAUCUUGAGUCU